GCACAAGCGGCGGAGCAUGCGGAUUAAUUCGAUGCAACGCGAAGAACCUUACCAAGGCUUGACAUACACCGGUAACGCCCAGAGAUGGGUGCCCCUUUGUGGUCGGUGUACAGGUGGUGCAUGGUUGUCGUCAGCUCGUGUCGUGAGAUGUUGGGUUAAGUCCCGCAACGAGCGCAACCCUCGUCCUAUGUUGCCAGCGGGUCAUGCCGGGGACUCAUGGGAGACUGCCGGGGUCAACUCGGAGGAAGGUGGGGAUGACGUCAAAUCAUCAUGCCCCUUAUGUCUUGGGCUUCACGCAUGCUACAAUGGCCGGUACAAAGGGCUGCGAUACCGCGAGGUGGAGCGAAUCCCAGAAAGCCGGUCUCAGUUCGGAUUGGGGUCUGCAACUCGACCCCAUGAAGUCGGAGUCGCUAGUAAUCGUGGAUCAGAAUGUCACGGUGAAUACGUUCCCGGGUCUU
rnacentral:rRNA from 1 species